UAUGCUAAAAUACAGAAAAAUAGGUUACCGUUUGCAAAAUAGACUGCGUUCGUCAGCGCUAUAUUCAACAUCGCAAUUGGUUACGUCAUCAAAAUGACUGUCGCAGACAGGUAGAAACAAAACAGAUAAACACUAUAAUCCCGCCUUAACGUCACGCAGUCUUGGUUUCCAUUCAAAUUUUAUGAGCAUUCAAACGUGUAUUCACAGGUGUCGGUUGAAAAACAUGCAAUGCUAAAGUAAUUUUCGUAAGCCAAAAAUGGGCACUGGUCAGCAAAAUGCUCGGCAAAAUGCUUUCGGGGGAUAUAGUACACAUCUUUAAGGGACAAAAAGAAACCGUAUAGCAACAACAUAAAGGAGGUAAAACCGAAAAGAAAUGAUUGUUGGAGGCGAAUGUUCCUUAAGUGAUGGAUUUCUUCCUUAUUUACCGAUGGAAAUGCUUUCACCUUGGCCAAGGGCGAAGUUUCCAACGGGCGAGGCAACGGCCCCUCCGACUCCCAAAGCAACACCAAAACCACCUAGAAAUGAAUAAGAUCAUUAAAUCUUCUUUCGUGAUUCUACACAAUAAUUUAAUUAGCAUACCUGGGCCUGGAUUAGCGAUUCCCGUUCCCGUUCCAAUAACUUGCCCACCACCAGGUUGCACGGCUCCUGACCCGAAUCCAGCAGCGUUUCCUCCGUUGAAUACUACAUCAUUCAAACAUUAAAAUAAGAACAUUCAAACUGUAUGAAUUAUUCAGAUGCUUACGGGUUUGUCCUGGGAAGACACCACCAGGUCGAUUACCACCAAACUGGAAAUUUCCGCCUGGUCUAAAUGGAUUUUGCUGAGGUCGGCCGAAUGCGGUUCCGACCAUGGCCAAAAAGAAGACUACGAAAAUUGCCUGAAAAAAAGAGAACUGGUGUUAUUAUCAAACGUUUGUAAAUUGAAUGCAAAACUUAAAGGUGUUUUACCUUAUUCAUGAUGUAGUGGGAAUAUUCGCUAUACAGAAACGAGAAAUUAGAUAAUAUGUCUUGAUGGAGAUCGAGCGUCAGGAGAACUGCAACUUCUAGUUGGAGACAAUGGAUCUUUAUACAGUCGAGCGGUGAUGAAAGUAUACGGAAAAACUCAGCACGAGCCGGAGGCCAAACUACAAGUUGUGAAAAAGGUAGUUAAUUGUUAUGCAGCAGCCUGUUUACCGAAAAUGGCCUGGGGUUUUUCUAGUAAAAACCCAAGAUGCAAGUCUUUUGAUGAACCCGUUCGUUAACUUUCGACCCAUGGAAUCUAAUGCUCUAAGAGGGGAAGUUAUUUGUUUUUAACAUUAUUCUUAGGUGAAACUGACGGUUUCUACAAGUCACAUUACAUAACCUGAAAAGCAAGGUUCCAUGACGCAAAUAGAAGAAAAAGAAAAUCCCCUUAGCUUUCCUUGCAUUGCACUUUUCCGGGUCUUAACACCUUUCAAACAGGAAAGCGGCUAUGGGCAGACUUAUGAAACUAGUCCAGCUAUAAAUCUAAAUUCGCCUUUUUCUCGCUAUUCUUAAUAUUCAGGUUUGAUUCAACACGACAGAUUGAACAUUCAUCUUGCAGGUUUGUUUUU